GUGGAUGUAAAAGAUGAGAAGACUUGGUUCUGCUUUCAAGAGGGUACUAAAGGGAGAAGCAAGGUUAACAAGCUGGCAGUUGCAAUGCCCUGUAUCAAUGGGGGUGGGCUUAAGCUAUGGGAGUCCAAAGGAGGGCAGAGCUAGCUCUGGGAUUGGCCCGGACAGCCCUCUAGACUGUGGGGGUGACAUUUGUGGUAGACCCCAAAACAAGAGCAAAAGAUGAUCAGGUAGAGAGGAGGGGAAGAUGCCACAACAGUAACUCGAUGAGGAAAUGCAAGUAUAUACCUUGUGCUGGAAGGCUUAACUAAACAUGGAUGUAUCAAUAGUGCAAGUGAGGACUGUCUGAGACUUGCUUGUGAAGAGGCUUGAAUGUUAUGCUAAGACCUUUUGACUUUAUCGCAGUAGGCACUGGAAAAUCAUGACGAACGGGACAGGUGAUCGGUUUUCUUUCAGAAACUUCUCAAGUGGCCAUGUGGAGCCUGAACUGUGGGAAAGUCCUCUCUGGAGACUGUUUUGAUGGUCCAUGGGAGGGCUGAUGUGAGAGUUUUUUGAGGCUGUGACAGUGGCAGCAGGAAGGAAUGGGGACAUUUGAAAGACGGCUCAGAAACUGAAUCCACAGAGUCUAUUUAUUUAUUCAUUCAACACUCAAAAUCUUCAUUGCAUCAGCCAGUAUGAGCCUGGCACCACAUGAAGAGAACAGAGACUGCUCUGACACUGAGGUGGAGGCCCGGCAGAACGUGUGACCCGGCGUUAGUUUGGGCGGGCUUCCUGGAGGAGAGCAGCUGGUUUGGGGAAGUGAGGCGAACUAAUCUUCAUUAAAUGAAUCAGAGAGAAGCCAGAUGUUUGGAGCUGGAGUUGGGCUGCAUGAUUCCUGCCACCUGCUGCUGCCAAUUUGAUCCUGGAUUGACCAUCUGAACUUUUGGUACACAAAAUAAAGUAGUGAAACACUCCUUUUGCCAAUGAAGUAAGGGAAAUGGCCCUCUUUCCACUGUUUCACACCUGAAAGUAGACUACCUGGUCAUGGGUAUUGUUUGAGAGUGAAAGUUAACCAUGCCACCUUUGCUGUGGGUCCUGAACCAAAAUUAGGCACAGAAGACCAAGAAGGCUCAAUGUAGCUACCUUACGAAGUCCCAAGAGAACUCAGUGUGGACUCCAGGGCAUAAUGGAUUUCACAGAUGUUCCUUUCUGAGCUGAAGUGAAGACCCCAUCACAGGCACGGAAGCUACAUUCCACAGGAGUGAAUGUAGAUUCCUGUAGCACAGAAAAGUCUGGACUGUGGAGGAAACCACCUGAAAACUAUCCUGAAUUGGUCCAAAAGAGAGCCAGUGAGACUAGCAUCAUGCCCAGGGUGCUUUCCUGUAAGGAAGAUAGGACAUAAAGCAGUGGAGAAGACAGGGGUGCGGAAUAGGAGAGCUUUCUUCCUCACAUGUCAAGAGGGCACAUGUUCUUAUUUUAGGAACUGAAGCAGGCACAGUAGGAAAACCUUUGCACUACACCCACCCUCUCCGUCUUAGUAAAACUUAACUUAUCUCCAUACUGACAACUCAAGUGCUCACUAAUUGCCUGUCUCAGAGAUUGGCUUCUGCUUAUUUUGUGUUUCCUCCUAGCCUACGCAGUGCUGAAUCCAGAAUAGAUUUCUUGGCAAAUCCAUGUUCAGACCCUGGACUACACAAUGGUGGAAUAGGGGCAAUUCAGUUUCGCAAGGGCUUGUCCCCAGUUGGGUCCUCCCAGAGACAAGGAUUUGGGUGCCAUGUGUUCACCAGAGAGGUUUUGCCAAACACCAGGAGAAACAGGACGUGAGACAAGGAAGGGAAGGCAGUGAGGAAAGGCUGUUAUCAAAGGAGUCACCACUUGGGAACUAACUCUAUGUCAGGAUAGGAAAGAUGGCUAAAAUCAUCUCAGUUGGAGUGAGGAAGCCAGGUGUUUAUUCACCAUUUUUAAUCAGAAAAGUUAUUUUCUUGUACUUCUGCUAUGUGGUGCACAUGAUAUACAAUUUCUAUCUUUGGAGUCUAACCUAAUCUAGCAGUUAGAUGUGAGAUACUCACCAACUCCCCUUGGCUGGUUUCUGUGUUUUUUGUUGCUUCUGCCACAGGAGGUUUUUUCAGGAUCUGCCCUCAGGUAGGAUGCCUUGCAGCAGUCUCCAGAGGUUCAACCUCUUGUGGAGCCAGAGCUGACAAACCCACUCUUCAAGGAGCUGUGAACCUCUG
ensembl:lncRNA